CAGCAGCCACGGUAAUACGAAGGGGGCUAGCGUUGUUCGGAAUUACUGGGCGUAAAGCGCACGUAGGCGGAUCGAUCAGUCAGGGGUGAAAUCCCAGGGCUCAACCCUGGAACUGCCUUUGAUACUGUCGAUCUGGAGUAUGGAAGAGGUGAGUGGAAUUCCGAGUGUAGAGGUGAAAUUCGCAGAUAUUCGGAGGAACACCAGUGGCGAAGGCGGCUCACUGGUCCAUCACUGACGCUGAGGUGCGAAAGCGUGGGGAGCAAACAGGAUUAGAUACCCCGGUAGUCCCUGUCUCUUAUAC
rnacentral:rRNA from 1 species